rnacentral:rRNA from 1 species
UACGAGGGGUGCAAACGUUGCUCGGAAUUAUUGGGCGUAAAGCGCACGUAGGCGGCUUUGCAAGUCCCAUGUGAAAUCCCACGGCUCAACCGUGGAAGUGCAUGGGAAACUGCAGAGCUUGAGUACUUAAGAGGAUCGCGGAAUUCCCGGUGUAGAGGUGAAAUUCGUAGAUAUCGGGAGGAACACCAGUGGCGAAGGCGGCGAUCUGGGAAGAUACUGACGCUGAGGUGCGAAAGCGUGGGGAGCAAACAGG